rnacentral:rRNA from 1 species
UACGUAGGGUGCGAGCGUUGUCCGGAAUUAUUGGGCGUAAAGAGCUCGUAGGCGGUGUGUCGCGUCGGCCGUGAAAACCUGCAGCUUAACUGUGGGCGUGCGGUCGAUACGGGCAUCACUGGAGUUCGGCAGGGGAGACUGGAAUUCAUGGUGUAGCAGUGAAAUGCGUAGAGAUCAUGAGGAAGACCAGUGGCGAAGGCGGGUCUCUGGACAGUUCCUGACGCUGAGGCACGAAGGCCAGGGGAGCAAACGGG